UGGCAGCAGGAGGUGGGUACCCUACUGGUGUUGGACUGGGAGGUGCUGGUGGCGGAGCUAAAGCACCCAAACCAGGCUAUGGCAAUCUUGGAGGUGGUGGUGGAUAUCAGCCAGGUGCAGCUCCUGUCGUUCCUGGUUAUGGAGGAGGAGGUUACCCCCAACAGUACUACCCAGGUGGAUAUGUACCAGCCCCACUGACUCCUCAACAAGCCAAAGCAGCAAAGUAUGGUCCAUUGCAGAGCUUCCUCGGUGGUGGAGGAGGAGGAGCCUAUAGAGGUGGAGUCGCAGGAUGCCAGGGAAAAUACUGUGGGAGGAGGAAGUAAACGAUCUCUUGAGACAGUGUGACCUCAAGAAACCAUGGUGCUACUGCAUGAUCUAGAAUGUACAUUUUAUAUGCGAAUAAAUCCCCAUUAGACAACAUGUAAAGCCCAUUUUUGAAUUACUUGCUUUACUUCAAUGUCUGUUUUGAUACAAACCCACCGACCCAGAAUUUUGUACACGUUCGGACGUGACAUUUGUUAUUGAUAGUGCCUUUAGUCAUUACUGUUAAUCGGCUUUAAUUCCCCCUAACUGCACCAGCCUACUUAAAAGUGUGUGUUUUUGUCACCAUGUGUUGCUUGUUGUUGUGCAUAAAUGUGUGCUGUGUGUGCGUGUGGUUUGCGCAUGUGGUUGUACUGUUGUGCAAAGGACUGUCUGAACCAUCGGCUGCCAAUGUGACCUUUUGAAUGAUUUCCCUUUCUCUUUAAUCCUAAAGCAAGGUGACCUGUCCUCACACUGUCUCACCUCACUGUGUAGAGUUUGUCACCUCUCUGACCUGCAAGAUGGGCUCGGGUUGGUCGAGGCAUGUCCGAAAAACGGAUGAAAUCCGACCAAUCUCAGCAUCGUCUAUGCCUCUCCGUCUUCUCUGCUGCUAUUUUUAGGUCUGCUGAGUAUAAAGCAGCGGGAUUCGGGGCUCCGGCCAACCCAUCUGCUCUCAGUAACUUUGCUGAUUCUAGUUGCUAUGCAGUUCAGUUUUCUCAGCAUUUUUUAUGUUGCCAUACGUGCGAUUUAUGAAGAGCAGCCUCUGUUCUGAUGGUAGCUGAAGACAAUCAAAAAGUGUUUGAUUCAGUAAAGGAGGUUUCAAAAACAGUGUUGCCAUUUUUUGCUUUUAGCUCCAGGUAGAUUAGAUAUCAUUCAUGUACAUUAUGUAUGUGUGAUUAUGUGUCACUGUCCAAAGGUGCUCAAUUGUUUAGUCUUAUUUCAGCAGUUAUUUACUUGUAUGUAACUUGUCAUUACGUGAUUAUUCAAGCUUUUUUUGCACCAUGCUUUGACUCAUAGCUUUAUUGUUAUCAGGAAUGUGUGAACAUACAACAAAAACAAUACUUUGCUUUUGCAUUUAUUCACUGUAAUACAGUAGUACAAUUGUAAUACAGAAAAUGUUUGAUGGGUGAGCCUAUGUGUUUAGUUUCAUAUGAGGCAAAAGCCCCUGUUGUUCUUUAUUUACUUGAGCUGCUUUUAAAAAGGCUUUACUGACCAAAGGUUCAUGAGCACUGUCGCCAAGUGAUCCCAUCUCUUUCUGUAAUUGUGUACUGUAUUUUGUACUAAUUUGGUGUUAGCUGGCUUCAGUUCCACCACUCGGUGCUGUGUGCGAACUAUCUUUGAGCCUCGCGGGGUCAGACCUUGUCUUAUGUGCCGUGGGAUACUCUUCAUCUUUAUUUAAAACUGUUUUUUAUAAGGAGGAACAGUGUGGUUUUGCACUUUUUAUAUUUCCACGACAAAUAUGUGACUUGUUCGCGGACAUCCUGGCAUUUUAUUUGCUUCAUUAAAUAACAGAAUAAAAUGUGUU